AAAAUUAUAAAUCUAGACUUAUGGGUCUAUAAAAUGUAUCACCUUAGAUUAAUCAAUAAUUGCGAGAUGUCUAGACCAGCAACUAGUCUGUAGCUCGCUGUCAGGCCUUAGACCUAUAUUAAAUAUCAGUAAUUAAACUAACCACUCUACUAUUAAAUUCAUUAGCUAAAGUAAAUUAACCAUUCGGUGUAUGUCCAUACAUGAAACAAAGUCAAAGACAAGCAAAUUACUUCAGUACAUCAUAGGGGA
rnacentral:lncRNA from 1 species